CAAUAGCGUAUAUUAAAGUUGUUGCGGUUAAAAAGCUCGUAGUUGGAUUUCUGCUGAGAACGACCGGUCCGCCCUUUGGGUGUGUAUCUGGCUCUUUCUUGGCAUCUUCUUGGUGAACGUUGCUGCACUUGACUGUGUGGAGCGCUACCCAGGACUUUUACUUUGAGGAAAUUAGAGUGUUUCAAGCAGGCAUACGCCUUGAAUACAUUAGCAUGGAAUAAUAAGAUAGGACCUCGGUUCUAUUUUGUUGGUUUCUAGAGCUGAGGUAAUGAUUAAUAGGGAUAGUUGGGGGCAUCCGUAUUUAACUGUCAGAGGUGAAAUUCUUGGAUUUGUUAAAGACGGACUACUGCGAAAACAUUUGCCAAGGAUGUUUUCAUUGA
rnacentral:rRNA from 1 species